CAUGUUGGUGGUUCUUUCUUUUCCUUUCUCGUGUCGCUGAGAAGUGGAGCUGCUCUCUGGGUUCACAGCAGGGACAUGGUGAACGCUCCCUCUGGAGGACUGAAGAUGAUGCUGAUGGACCAAUCAAGGUGAUGCCCCUGAACUCAAGUUUAUUUACUUGAAGACUCCUGACUUUAUUCACUAUUCUGCAUUUAAGUUUGUUGCUUACAAAGUGGCCUCUAACAGCAGACUCCUUCCCUCACACUGCUAACUUUUCCUGUUUGUCCAGACUCUUUUUUUUUUUUUUUAAUAAAGAUUUUUACAUUGGUCAUAAAUGUACGAGAGUUUUUGCAUGAAUUGCAGUGUUCUAGUGUUAUGAACUAGAAAGCACCCUGUAAAGCAAUUUGUUCCAAGCAAUAAAAAUGCUCCAUUUUAGAUUUCACAGGGUUUUUAAUGUGGUGCUUAUUUUUUUGUAGAGACUUCCCAGAUGUAAGGUUUCACUUAUGCCAAGUUUUAAGUGCUUAAAGGUAGCUUACAGAAAUGAAAUAAAUCCCUUGGAUUAUUUUACUGUGCAUUUGAUGUAGGUUUGUAUUUGGGUAAACUUUAAUGUGUCCUAAACUGUUGCUGUAGCUUCUUGGUCUGGUUGGUUAUGAAUUCUGUAUUUUAAAUAAAAGCUUGUUCAUAAAAA